GGAACUUGCAAGAAGUCUCAAUCUUGAUUUGGUGGAGGUAAGAAGUGUCAAUCAUGAGGCUUACUUACAGUUACAAGAGCGAUACUACUGACAGUAAAACAUACUAGGAUAAACUAACACAAAUGUCAAAUUAAUGCUUUUUAUAACAUGAAAACACAGUGAGGGAAAUAAACUUUCUCGCUGAAGAUCUUUUCUGGUUCAUAAGCAGCGCUUGGACUUAUCUGUUGCUUUCCUUGUUACCUUGGUACAGUGAUGACUGAGCAAGUGUGUCAUAUUGAGCUUGCUCGUUUCUUGUUGAUAAGACAAUUUCCCUUUGUAUCAUUCUUCCCUUUCAUGACUGAUUCUGUACUCUUCAUUUCACGUCUUGUAUUACUCAAUUCUGCUCUAUUCAUUUCACGUCAUAGCAGUUCAAUAUGCAAUUAAGCAGGGUAACAAGAAAAGUCACAAAGAACUGAUUUUUGUCAAUCUGAUGGAUUUUAUUUUGGUUUAGUUGUCAACUCAUCUGCAACAAACACUAAAAACUCCAAGAUGUGAAAAUUCUUAUUAAUUUGAUUAUGUUGCAAUGUAGAGGGCCUGUGUACAUAGGCCGUGGUUGAAAUGUUCUCAAAUUGUACAGGAUAAGAUGAUUGCUUAGAGAAAAUUGAGGGACGUCUAGUUUAUAGAAAAACAAAGGUCUUUUGUUCGUUGAAAGAAGUGUAUAUAAACAUUUCUCUUGGCUUUCUUGCUACUAGGAGAAGAUUAUAUUGAGAAGGAUGUCUUAUUUUUGCCACAAGCCCUUAAAAGUAGUUUUUCAACCAAUUUUAAUUAAUAUAGACUAUGUUGCGUGGACUCUCCAAAAUGUCGCCACACCCGUGUCGGAUCCUCUAAAUCAUUACUUUUGAAGGAGACACUCACUCGGGGACAUUCUCGGAGAGUCUAAGCAAUAUAGAAUAUAGAUAUGUGAAGAUGAGGUGUGUGCGUAUCAAGUAUGACAUUAUUUGGUUAGUGAACUUAAGAAGUCAGGAUGAGGAGGAUUUGCAUGUCCUCGGCUUUGUGGAGGGCGAUUUAUAACCUUUUUGGUGUUCAAUGGCUGAUGCCAAGAACCGUAAAGGAAAUGUUAUGUAGUUGGGCAGGUUUCCGUAGAAGAAGAAAGCAAAAGGCGUGGAAGUUUGCCCCGUUAGCUC
rnacentral:lncRNA from 1 species